UGCGAAACUAGGCGAGCUACCGCGGAGCAUCUCAUAGAAUAAAGUAUGUAGCAUAAUAUUUUAAAGAUUCCGCGAUAGGGGUGAAAGGCUACUCAAGUCUAGUGAUAACUCGAUAACACUGAAAUGUAUCAAGUACAAUGUCAAUUUAUUAGUGAUUAGGCUAGUAAAUUUCACGUGAUAAAAUAUUCAUAGGUUGCUAUGUUUAAACGCUUGUGAUUUAAGGUUUUAUUAUGGGGGUAUUGUGUCAGUGGUGAGUAAGUGUUAUCAUAGAACUUAUGAGUUGUUUAUACUGCUGAUAUAAGUAAUUAUAGAUACUAUUAAUGAACUCGGCAAUAUUUCCUUCAGCUGUUUAUCAAAAACAUCGCCAGCAGGAAACAUUGUUGGUCUGUUCUGCUCCAUGAUUCUUAAAUAGCCGCAGUACCUUGACUGUGCAAAGGUAGCAUAAUCAUUUGGCUUAUAAUUGAAGUCUCGUAUGAAUGAAUGAAUGGGGGAAACCUUUAUUAAUAAUAGUUAUUGAAUUUACCAUGUGAGUGCAAAUCCUCACAAGUAAAUAAUAGACGAGAAGACCCUAGAAAUUUCUAUGAUGUGGAUAUCUAAAUUUUUGUUGGGGCAACAUAGUAGCACGUAACCUACUUUAAGAACACGAAAUAGAUUAGGCAGAUUAAAUUACUCUAGGGAUAACAGCGUAAUUUACACAAGUUUGCGACCUCGAUGUUGGACUAGGGAACAAUUGCUUAGAA
rnacentral:rRNA from 1 species